rnacentral:rRNA from 1 species
GAUGAACGCUAGCGGCAGGCUUAAUACAUGCAAGGCGAAGGGGCAGCAAUGUCACUGUCGUACGGGUGCGUAACGCGUAUGCAACCUACCUAUCACUGGGGGAUAGCCCGGGGAAACCCGGAUUAAUACCGCAUAAAACAGGGGCACCGCAUGGUGAUAUUUGUUAAAGAUUUAUUGGUGAUAGAUGGGCAUGCGUUCGAUUAGCUAGUUGGCGGGGUAACGGCCCACCAAGGCGACGAUCGAUAGGGGAGCUGAGAGGUUGAUCCCCCACACGGGCACUGAGAUACGGGCCCGACUCCUACGGGAGGCAGCAGUAGGGAAUAUUGGGCAAUGGAUGCAAGUCUGACCCAGCCAUGCCGCGUGCCGGAUGAAGGCCCUCAGGGUUGUAAACGGCUUUUAUUCGGGAAGAAGAGCAGGGAUGCGUCCUUGUGUGACGGUACCGAAUGAAUAAGCACCGGCUAACUCCGUGCCAGCCGCCGCGGUAAGAC